rnacentral:lncRNA from 1 species
AAAUGAAGGAAAUAUGCCCUAGAGGCAAUAAUAAAGUUAUUAUUUAUUUCCUUAUUUCAUGAUAAAUGUUUAUCAUUCAUGCUAGAAUUGUAUUAACCGGAAACAUGAUACAUGUGUGAAUGCAUAAACAAACAACAUGUCACUAGUAUGCCUCUACUAGACUAGCUUGUUAAUCAAAGAUGGUUAUGUUUCCUGACCAUGAACAAAGAGUUGUUAUUUGAUUAACGAGGUCACAUCAUUAGUAGAAUGAUCUGAUUGACAUGACCCAUUCCAUUAGCUUAGCACACGAUCGUUUAGUAUGUUGCUACUGCUUUUAUCCAUGACUUAUACAUGUUCCUGUAACUAUGAGAUUAUGCAACUCCCGUUUACCGGAGGAACACUUUGGGUGCUACCAAACGUCACAACGUAACUGGGUGAUUAUAAAGGAGUACUACAGGUGUCUCCAAAGGCAGAUGUUGGGUUGGCGUAUUUCGAGAUUAGGUUUUGUCACUCCGAUUGUCGGAGAGGUAUCUCUGGGCCCUCUCGGUAAUGCACAUCACUAAAGCCUUGCAAGCAUUACAACUAAUGAGUUAGUUGUGAGAUGAUGUAUUACGGAACGAGUAAAGAGACUUGCCGGUAACGAGAUUGAACUAGGUAUUGGAUACCGACGAUCGAAUCUCGGGCAAGUAACAUACCGAUGACAAAGGGAACAACGUAUGUUGUUAUGCGGUCUGACCGAUAAAGAUCUUCGUAGAAUAUGUAGGAACCAAUAUGGGCAUCCAGGUCCCGCUGUUGGUUAUUGACCGGAGACGUGUCUCGGUCAUGUCUACAUUGUUCUCGAACCGUAGGGUCCGCACGCUUAAGGUUUCGAUGACAGUUAUUAUGAGUUUAUGUAUUUUGAUGUACCGAAGAAGUUCGGAGUCCCGGAUGUGAUCACGGACAUGACGAGGAGUCUCGAAAUGGUUGAGACAUAAAGAUUGAUAUAUUGGACGGCUAUAUUCGGACACCGGAAAGGUUCCGGAAGUUUCCGGAGAAAACCGGAGUGCCGGAGGGGUUACCGGAACCCCCCGGGGGAAGUUAUGGGCCUUAGUGGGCCAAGAGGGGAGAGAGAGGGGCCGCACCAGGAGGUGGCGCCCCCCCAGGGGAGUCCGAAUAGGACAAGGAGGGGGGGGCGCGGCCCCCCUUUCCCUCUCCCUCUCCCUCUCUUUCCUUCCCCCUUCUCCCUUCCUAGUUGGACUAGGAGAGGGGAGUCCUACUCUAACUAGGAGGAGGACUCCCCCCUCCCUUGGCGCGCCACUAGGGCCGGCCGGCCUCCCCCUUGCUCCUUUAUAUACGGGGGCAGGGGGGCACCCUAGGACACACAAGUUUGAUCUACGGAUCGUUCCUUAGCCGUGUGCGGUGCCCCCUUCCACCAUAUUCCACCUCGGUCAUAUCGUCGCGAAGCUUAGGCGAAGCUCUGCGCCGGUAGAACAUCAAGAUCGUCACCACGCCGUCGUGCUGACGGAACUCUCCCUCGACACUCGGCUGGAUCGGAGUACGAGGGACGUCAUCGAGCUGUACGUGUGUCAAGAACUCGGGGGUGCCGGAGUAACGGCGCCGGGAUCGGUCGGAUCGCGAGGAGAACGUACGACUACUUCCUCUACGUUGUGAUCGCUUCCGCUUCGGGUCUACGAGGGUACGUAGACAACACUCUCCCCUCUCGUUGCUAUGCAUCACCAUGAUCUUGCGUGUGCGUAGGAAAAUUUUGAAAUUACUACGUUCCCCAACAGUGGCAUCCGAGCCUAGGUUUUUAUGGUUUGAUGUUUUGCACGAGUAGAACACAAGUGAGUUGUGGGCGAUACAAGUCAUACUACCUACUAGCAUGUCAUACUUUGGUUCAGCGGUAUUGUGAGAUGAAGCGGCCCAGACCGACAUUACGCGUACGCUUACGCGAGACUGGUUUCACCGCUACGAGCACUCGUUGCUUAAAGGUGACUGGUGGGUGCCUGUCUCUCUCACUUUAGUUGAACCGAGUGUGGCUACGCCCGGUCCUUGAGAAGGUUAAAACGGAGUCUAUUUGACGAAGUAUCGUUGUGGUUUUGAUGCGUAGGUGAGACUGGUUCUUGCUUAAGCCCGUAGCAGCCACGUAAAAUUUGCAACAACAAAGUAGAGGACGUCUAACUUGUUUUUGCAGGGCAUGUUGUGAUGUGAUAUGGUCAAGACGUGAUGCUAUAUUUUUAUUGUAUGAGAUGAUCAUGUUUUGUAACCGAAGUUAUCGGCAACUGGCUGGAGCCAUAUGGUUGUCGCUUUAUUGUAUACAAUGCAAUCGCCCUGUAAUGCUUUACUUUAUCACUAAACGAUAGCGAUAGUCGUAGAAGCAUAAGAUUGGCGAGACGACAACGAUGCUACGAUGGAGAUCAAGGUGUCGCGCCGGUGACGAUGGUGAUCAUGGUGGUGCUGCAGAGAUGGAGAUCACGAAGCACAAGAUGAUGAUGACCAUAUCAUAUCACUUAUAUUGAUUUGCAUGUGAUGUUUAUCCUUUAUGCAUCUUAUCUUGCUUUGAUUGACGGUAGCAUUAUAAGAUGAUCUCUCACUAAAUUAUCAAGAAGUGUUCUCCCCGAGUAUGCACCGUUGCCAAAGUUCGUCGUGCCCAGACACCACGUGAUGAUCGGGUGUGAUAAGCUCUACGUCCAUCUACAACGGGUGCAAGCCAGUUUUGCACACGCAGAAUACUCGGGUUAUACUUGACGAGCCUAGCAUAUGCAGAUAUGGCCUCGGAACACGGAGACCGAAAGGUCGAGCGUGAAUCAUAUAGUAGAUAUGAUCAACAUAAGAUGUUCACCAUUGAAAACUACUCCAUUUCACGUGAUGAUCGGUUAUGGUUUAGUUGAUUUGGAUCACGUGAUCACUUAGAUGACUAGAGAGAUGUCUUUCUAAGUGGGAGUUCUUAAGUAAUAUGAUUAAUUGAACUUAAAUUUAUCAUGAACUUAGUACCUGAUAGUAUCUUGCUUGUUUAUGUUUGAUUGUAGAUAGAUGGCUCGUGCUGUUGUUCCGUUGAAUUUUAAUGCGUUCCUUGAGAAAGCAAAGUUGAAAGAUGAUGGUAGCAAUUACACGGACUGGGUCCGUAACCUGAGGAUUAUCCUCAUUGCUGCACAGAAGAGUUACGUCCUGGAUGCACCGCUGGGUGCCAGGCCUGCUGCUGAUGCAACUGACGACGUUAAGAACGUCUGGCAGAGCAAAGCUGAUGACUACUCUAUAGUUCAGUGUGCCAUGCUUUACGGCUUAGAACCGGGACUUCAACGACGUUUUGAACGUCAUGGAGCAUAUGAGAUGUUCCAGGAGUUGAAGUUAAUAUUCCAACAGAAUGCCCGGAUUGAGAGAUAUGAAGUCUCCAAUAAGUUCUAUAGCUGCAAGAUGGAGGAGAAUAGUUCUGUUAGUGAGCACAUACUCAGAAUGUCUGGGUACUACAAUCACUUGACACAAUUGGGAGUUAAUCUUCCAGAUGAUUGUGUCAUUGACAGAAUUCUUCAAUCACUGCCACCAAGCUACAAAGGCUUCGUGAUGAACUAUAAUAUGCAAGGGUUAGUAAAGACUAUACCUGAGCUCUUCGCAAUGCUAAAGGCUGCGGAGGUAGAAAUCAAGAAGGAGCAUCAAGUGUUGAUGGUCAAUAAGACCACUAGUUUCAAGAAGAAAGGCAAAGGGAAGAAGAAGGGGAACUUCAAGAAGAACAGCAAGCAAGUUGCUGCUCAGGAGAAGAAACCCAAGUCUGGACCUAAGCCUGAAACUGAGUGCUUCUACUGCAAGCAGACUGGUCACUGGAAGCGGAACUGCCCCAAGUAUUUGGCGGAUAAGAAGGAUGGCAAGGUGAACAAAGGUAUAUGUGAUAUACAUGUUAUUGAUGUGUACCUUACUAGAGCUCGCAGUAGCACCUGGGUAUUUGAUACUGGUUCUGUUGCUAAUAUUUGCAACUCGAAACAGGGACUACGGAUUAAGCGAACACUGGCAAAGGACGAGGUGACGAUGCGCGUGGGAAAUGGUUCCAAAGUCGAUGUGAUCGCGGUCGGCACGCUACCUCUACAUCUACCUUCGGGAUUAGUUUUAGACCUAAAUAAUUGUUAUUUGGUGCCUGCGUUGAGCAUGAACAUUAUAUCUGGAUCUUGUUUGAUGCGAGACGGUUAUUCAUUUAAAUCAGAGAAUAAUGGUUGUUCUAUUUAUAUGAGUAAUAUCUUUUAUGGUCAUGCACCCUUGAGGAGUGGUCUAUUUUUGAUGAAUCUCGAUAGUAGUGAUACACAUAUUCAUAAUGUUGAAGCCAAAAGAUGCAGAGUUGAUAAUGAUAGUGCAACUUAUUUGUGGCACUGCCGUUUAGGUCAUAUCGGUGUAAAGCGCAUGAAGAAACUCCGUACUGAUGGACUUUUGGAGUCACUUGAUUAUGAAUCACUUGGCACUUGCGAACCGUGCCUUAUGGGCAAGAUGACUAGAACCCCGUUCUCCGGUACUAUGGAGAGAGCAACAGAUUUGUUGGAAAUCAUACAUAUAGAUGUAUGUGGUCCGAUGAAUGUUGAGGCUCGUGGCGGAUAUCGUUAUUUUCUCACCUUCACAGAUGACUUAAGCAGAUAUGGGUAUAUCUACUUAAUGAAACAUAAGUCUGAAACAUUUGAAAAGUUCAAAGAAUUUCAGAGUGAAGUUGAAAAUCAUCGUAACAAGAAAAUUAAAUUUCUACGAUCUGAUCGUGGAGGUGAAUAUUUGAGUUACGAGUUUGGUCUACAUUUGAAACAAUGCGGAAUAGUUUCGCAACUCACGCCACCCGGAACACCACAGCGUAAUGGUGUGUCCGAACGUCGUAAUCGCACUUUACUAGAUAUGGUGCGAUCUAUGAUGUCUCUUACAGAUUUACCGCUAUCGUUUUGGGGUUAUGCUCUAGAGACGGCCGCAUUCACACUGAAUAGAACACCAUCGAAAUCCGUUGAGACGACACCUUAUGAACUGUGGUUUAGCAAGAAACCAAAGUUGUCGUUUCUUAAAGUUUGGGGAUGCGAUGCUUAUGUGAAAAAGCUUCAACCUGAUAAGCUCGAACCCAAAUCGGAGAAAUGUGUCUUCAUAGGAUACCCAAAGGAGACAGUUGGGUACACCUUCUAUCACAGAUCCGAAGGCAAGACAUUCGUUGCUAAGAAUGGAUCCUUUCUAGAGAAGGAAUUUCUCUCGAAAGAAGUGAGUGGAAGGAAAGUAGAACUUGAUGAGGUAAUAGUACCUUCUCCCUUACUUGAAAGUAGUUCGUCGCAGAAACCGGUUUCUGAGACAUCUACACCAAGUAGUGAGGAAGUUGAUGAUGUUGAUCAUGAAACUUCAGAUCAAGUUACUACAGAACCUCGUAGAUCAACCAGAGUAAGAUCUGCACCAGAGUGGUACGGUAAUCCUGUUCUGGAAAUCAUGCUACUAGAUCAUGAUGAACCUACGAACUAUGAAGAAGCGAUGGUGAGCCCAGAUUCCGCAAAAUGGCUUGAGGCCAUGAAAUCUGAGAUGGGAUCCAUGUAUGAAAACAAAGUAUGGACUUUGGUUGACUUGCCCGAGGGUAGGCAAGCAAUAGAAAACAAGUGGAUCUUCAAGAAGAAGACUGACGCUGACGGUAAUGUUACUGUCUACAAAGCUCGACUUGUCGCAAAGGGUUUUCGACAAGUUCAAGGGAUUGACUACGAUGAGACCUUCUCACCCGUAGCGAUGCUUAAGUCUGUCCGAAUCAUGUUAGCAAUUGCCGCAUUUUAUGAUUAUGAAAUUUGGCAAAUGGAUGUAAAGACUGCAUUCCUGAAUGGAUUUCUGGAAGAAGAGUUGUAUAUGAUGCAACCAGAAGGUUUUGUCGAUCCAAAAGGAGCUAACAAAGUAUGCAAGCUCCAGCGAUCCAUCUAUGGACUGGUGCAAGCAUCUCGGAGUUGGAAUAAACGCUUUGAUAGUGUGAUCAAAGCAUUUGGGUUUGUACAGACUUUUGGAGAAGCCUGUAUUUACAAGAAAGUGAGUGGGAGCUCUAUAGCAUUUCUGAUAUUAUAUGUAGAUGACAUAUUGCUGAUCGGAAAUGAUAUAGAAUUUCUGGAUAGCAUAAAGGGAUACUUGAAUAAGAGUUUUUCAAUGAAAGACCUCGGUGAAGCUGCUUACAUAUUGGGCAUUAAGAUCUAUAGAGAUAGAUCAAGACGCUUAAUUGGACUUUCACAAAGCACAUACCUUGACAAAAUUUUGAAGAAGUUCAAAAUGGAUCAAGCAAAGAAAGGGUUCUUGCCUGUGUUACAAGGUGUGAAGUUGAGUAAGACUCAAUGCCCGACCACUGCAGAAGAUAGAGAGAAAAUGAAAGAUGUUCCCUAUGCUUCAGCCAUAGGCUCUAUCAUGUAUGCAAUGUUGUGUACCAGACCUGAUGUGUGCCUUGCUAUAAGUUUAGCAGGGAGGUACCAAAGUAAUCCAGGAGUGGAUCACUGGACAGCGGUCAAGAACAUCCUGAAAUACCUGAAAAGGACUAAGGAUAUGUUUCUCGUAUAUGGAGGUGACAAAGAGCUCAUCGUAAACGGUUACGUUGAUGCAAGCUUUGACACUGAUCCGGACGAUUCUAAAUCGUAGACCGGAUACGUAUUUACACUAAACGGAGGAGCUGUCAGUUGGUGCAGUUCUAAACAAAGCGUCGUAGCGGGAUCUACAUGUGAAGCGGAGUACAUAGCAGCUUCGGAAGCAGCUAAUGAAGGAGUCUGGAUGAAGGAGUUCAUAUCCGAUCUAGGUGUCAUACCUAGUGCAUCGGGUCCAAUGAAAAUCUUCUGUGACAAUACUGGAGCAAUUGCCUUAGCGAAGGAAUCCAGAUUUCACAAGAGGACCAAGCACAUCAAGAGACGCUUCAAUUCCAUCCGGGACUUAGUCCAGGUGGGAGACAUAGAGAUUUGCAAGAUACAUACGGAUCUGAAUGUUGCAGACCCGUUGACUAAGCCUCUUCCACGAGCAAAACAUGAUCAGCACCAAGACUCCAUGGGUGUUAGAAUCAUUACUAUGUAAUCUAGAUUAUUGACUCUAGUGCACGUGGGAGACUGAAGGAAAUAUGCCCUAGAGGCAAUAAUAAAGUUAUUAUUUAUUUCCUUAUUUCAUGAUAAAUGUUUAUCAUUAAUGCUAGAAUUGUAUUAACCAGAAACAUGAUACAUGUGUGAAUGCAUAAACAAACAACAUGUCACUAGUAUGCCUCUACUAGACUAGCUUGUUAAUCAAAGAUGGUUAUGUUUCCUGACCAUGAACAAAGAGUUGUUAUUUGAUUAACGAGGUCACAUCAUUAGUAGAAUGAUCUGAUUGACAUGACCCAUUCCAUUAGCUUAGCACACGAUCGUUUAGUAUGUUGCUACUGCUUUUAUCCAUGACUUAUACAUGUUCCUGUAACUAUGAGAUUAUGCAACUCCCGUUUACCGGAGGAACACUUUGGGUGCUACCAAACGUCACAACGUAACUAGGUGAUUAUAAAGGAGUACUACAGGUGUCUCCAAAGGCAGAUGUUGGGUUGGCGUAUUUCGAG